rnacentral:rRNA from 1 species
AACGAACGCUGGCGGCAGGCCUAACACAUGCAAGUCGAACGCCCUGCAAGGGGAGUGGCAGACGGGUGAGUAACGCGUGGGAACCUACCUAGAGGUGCGGAAUAGCCCAGGGAAACUUGGAGUAAUACCGCAUAAGCCCGCAAGGGGAAAGAUUUAUCGCCUUUAGAUGGGCCCGCGUCUGAUUAGCUAGUUGGUGAGGUAAUGGCUCACCAAGGCGACGAUCAGUAGCUGGUUUGAGAGAAUGACCAGCCACACUGGGACUGAGACACGGCCCAGACUCCUACGGGAGGCAGCAGUGGGGAAUCUUGGACAAUGGGGGCAACCCUGAUCCAGCCAUGCCGCGUGAGUGACGAAGGCCUUAGGGUUGUAAAGCUCUUUUGGCGGGGACGAUAAUGACGGUACCCGCAGAAUAAGUCCCGGCUAACUUCGUG